rnacentral:rRNA from 1 species
AGCGAACGCUGGCGGCGUGCUUAACACAUGCAAGUCGAGUGCGCAGUCAUCUGUAGCAAUACAGGUGGCGGGCGCACGGCGCACGGGUGCGUAACACGUGGACAAUCUACCCUUUGAUGGGGAAUAACCCGCCGAAAGGCGGGCUAAUACCGCAUAACAUCCCAGUCGCUUCGGUGAUAGGGAUCAAAGCCCGCAAGGGCGUCAUUGGAGGAGUCCGCGGCCGAUUAGCUAGUUGGUGAGGUAAUGGCUCACCAAGGCUUGGAUCGGUAGCCGGUCUGAGAGGACGGAUCGGCCACACUGGAACUGAGACACGGUCCAGACUCCUACGGGAGGCAGCAGUGGGGAAUCUUGCGCAAUGGGCGAAAGCCUGACGCAGCGACGCCGCGUGGGGAUGAAGCUUCUCGGAGUGUAAACCCCUUUCGACCCGGACGAAUGACCGCAAGGGUUUGACGGUACGGGGAGAGGAAGCCCCGGCUAACUACGUGCCAGCAGCCGCGGUAAGACGUAGGGGCCAGCGUUGCUCGGAAUUACUGGGCGUAAAAGGGUUCGUAGGCGGUGCGGUAAGUCGAGAGUGAAAAUCUCCAGGCUCAACUUGGAGGCGCCUCCCGAAACUGCCGUGCUCGAGUGCUGGAGAGGCGAGUGGAAUUGCAGGUGUAGCGGUGAAAUGCGUAGAUAUCUGCAGGAACACCAGUGGCGAAGGCGGCUCGCUGGACAGCAACUGACGCUGAGGAACGAAAGCUA